AUGGAGCCGUCCUUGAAAUACCACCCUUGUAGUUUUGAUGUUCUAACUUGGUUCCCUUAUCGGGAAUGAGGACAGUGCCUGGUGGGUAGUUUGACUGGGGCGGUCUCCUCCCAAAGAGUAACGGAGGAGCACGAAGGUGGGCUAAUCACGGUUGGACAUCGUGAGGUUAGUGCAAUGGCAUAAGCCCGCUUAACUGCGAGAAUGACAAUUCGAGCAGGUGCGAAAGCAGGUCAUAGUGAUCCGGUGGUUCUGAAUGGAAGGGCCAUCGCUCAACGGAUAAAAGGUACUCCGGGGAUAACAGGCUGAUACCGCCCAAGAGUUCAUAUCGACGGCGGUGUUUGGCACCUCGAUGUCGGCUCAUCACAUCCUGGGGCUGAAGUCGGUCCCAAGGGUAUGGCUGUUCGCCAUUUAAAGUGGUACGCGAGCUGGGUUUAGAACGUCGUGAGACAGUUCGGUCCCUAUCUGCCGUGGGCGUUGGAGAAUUGAAAGGGGCUGCUCCUAGUACGAGAGGACCGGAGUGGACGAACCUCUGGUGUUCGGGUUGUGUCGCCAGACGCAUUGCCCGGUAGCUAAGUUCGGGAUCGAUAACCGCUGAAAGCAUCUAAGCGGGAAGCGAGCCUUGAGAUGAGUUCUCCCUGGCGCUUUAAGCGUCCUAAAGGGUUGUUCGAGACUAGAACGUUGAUAGGCAGGGUGUGUAAGCGUUGUGAGGCGUUGAGCUAACCUGUACUAAUCGCCCGUGAGGCUUAACCAU
rnacentral:ncRNA from 1 species